rnacentral:rRNA from 2 species
AAGCGUUUAUGACCAGACUUGGGCUUGGUUAAUCAUCUGGGGUUCUCCCCAGUGCACUUUUCCAGUCCAGGCCAGCAUCAGUUUUCCCCGGGGGAUAAAGGCGGCGGGAAUGUGGCUC